rnacentral:lncRNA from 1 species
GCAAAAUGAUACUUUGCUCUUCUCCAUUUAUUAACUGACAUUUUUUUCUGUAAGGAAGAGCUUUUUCUCAUCAACUAGGAAUGAACUAAAGUCCCCCCUACCCACACACACACGCAAAAGCAGGCCCCUUCCUGGAAGUAAUCACGAGGAACAGGGGACGAUGCUACAUGCACCCACAGUGUGUUAUGUGGAGUGACCAUGAGCCAUGGAAUGCACAUAGUCUCUAGAAGAUAGAAAAGGCAAGAAACUGGAUUCUAGAGCUCCCAUAAAGGAAUGCAGCCCUUCUGAUACCUGAAUUUAAGCCCCAUGAGAUCCAUUCCAGACCUCUUAUGGCCAGAACUAUGUGUCCAUGGCUUCUGGAUGAUAUCUCAGCCUUCUUGGAACUCCUAGAGGCACCCUGAAGACAU